rnacentral:rRNA from 1 species
GGAUGCGAUCAUACCAGCACUAAAGCAUCGGAUCCCAUCAGAACUCCGAAGUUAAGCGUGCUUGGCCGAGAGUAGUACUAGGAUGGGUGACCUCCUGGGAAGUCCUCGUGUUGCAUUCC